rnacentral:rRNA from 1 species
GUUGUAUGGUUAAGUGACUAAGCGUACAGGGCGGAUGCCUUGGCAAUCAGAGGCGAUGAAGGACGUGCUA